rnacentral:lncRNA from 1 species
CUCGCACGAUUCAUGACAUUCUGGGCACAUCUUCUCUGUACAGUUAGCAAACAAAUUAGUAGGUAACAAAUUGAAUUUAAGAAUAAAUGAUUCAAUCAUUAAACUCUGAAAAAAAAAUUUGAAUGUGUAACUUGAUAUGCCAGAUCCUCAUAAUGCUGGCAUAUGAAAGCUCAAUCAUCCAUAGUGAUGCUGUCAUAGGGCCGCUGCCGCGCAACCUCCACUUCAU